rfam:Kluyvera intestini strain GT-16 tig00000000, whole genome shotgun sequence.
UUUUCCGCGUUGGAUCUUGUUAUAACAAGCAAUUGUGCGGAAUGACCAGUUUUGCCUGUCCGACCAUACACGCAGCAAUGGCGUAAGACGUAUUGGACUUUCAGGCAGUUAGCGGGCUGCGGGUUGCAGUCCUUACCGGUAGAUGGAAUCUUCUCUGGAGAGUUUUUCCCGUGCUGUUCCCCUGAUAAUUGCGCUGUGUUUUCCACAGGAAAUACAGGCAACCGACACACUGCGCCUCUUAAGCGAACGACAACCGUGAGGUUGGCGACGUGAACAGACACGAGGCCAUCGGUUCUCCCCCGGAAAGGCGUCAUCAUGCCCGCAGCUUAGUCGUCAA